rnacentral:tRNA from 1 species
GGGCCCGUAGCUCAGCCUGGCAGAGCACCUGACUCUUAAUCAGGGCGCCGAGGGUUCAAAUCCCUCCGGGCUCG